rnacentral:rRNA from 1 species
GACGAACGCUGGCGGCGUGCUUAACACAUGCAAGUCGAACGGAAAGGCCCUGCUUUUGUGGGGUGCUCGAGUGGCGAACGGGUGAGUAACACGUGAGUAACCUGCCCUUGACUUUGGGAUAACUUCAGGAAACUGGGGCUAAUACCGGAUAGGAGCUCCUGCUGCAUGGUGGGGGUUGGAAAGUUUCGGCGGUUGGGGAUGGACUCGCGGCGUAUCAGCUUGUUGGUGGGGUAGUGGCUUACCAAGGCUUUGACGGGUAGCCGGCCUGAGGGGGUGACCGGCCACAUUGGGACUGAGAUACGGCCCAGACUCCUACGGGAGGCAGCAGUGGGGAAUAUUGCACAAUGGGCGGAAGCCUGAUGCAGCAACGCCGCGUGCGGGAUGACGGCCUUCGGGUUGUAAACCGCUUUCGCCUGUGACGAAGCGUGAGUGACGGUAAUGGGUAGAGAAGCACCGGCUAACUACGUG